GAGUGGCGGACGGGCGAGUAACACGUAAUCAAGCUGCCUGCGAGACGGGAAUAACUUCGGGAAACCGAAGCUAAGACCCGAUGGUCUGCACGGAUCGCAUGGUUUGUGCAGUAAAUGGGCGGGAUCCUCCGGGAUCGCCUGCUCGCAGAGGUGAUUGCGGCCCAUCAGCUAGUUGGUAGGGUAAUGGCCUACCAAGGCUACGACGGGUAGCCGGCCUUAGAGGGUGGUCGGCCGCACUGGGACUGAGACACUGCCCAGACUCCUACGGGAGGCUGCAGUCGAGAAUCUUCCGCAAUGGGCGCAAGCCUGACGGAGCGACGCCGCGUGGAGGACGAAGGCCUUCGGGUUGUAAACUCCUGUCACGAGUUAAGAAGGGCAUGCAGCGAACAGCUGUAGGCUUUGACGUAAGCUCGAGAGGAAGCACUGGCUAACUCUGUGCCAGCAGCCGCGGUAAUACAGAGAGUGCAAACGUUGUUCGGAAUUACUGGGCUUGAAGCGCACGUAGGCGGCGUUGUAAGUGUCGGGUGAAAUCCCACGGCUCACCCGUGGAACCGCCCGGCAUACUGCGAUGCUAGAGUGUGGUAGGGGAGAGCGGAACUCCUGGUGGAGCGGUGAAAUGCGUAGAUAUCAGGAGGAACACCGGUGGCGAAGGCGGCUCUCUGGUCCACAAC
rnacentral:rRNA from 1 species